rnacentral:rRNA from 2 species
GCAGUCGAACGGAAAGGCCCUUCGGGGUACUCGAGUGGCGAACGGGUGAGUAACACGUGGGUGAUCUGCCCUGCACUUUGGGAUAAGCCUGGGAAACUGGGUCUAAUACCGGAUAGGACCACGCGCUUCAUGGUGUGUGGUGGAAAGCUUUUGCGGUGUGGGAUGGGCCCGCGGCCUAUCAGCUUGUUGGUGGGGUAAUGGCCUACCAAGGCGACGACGGGUAGCCGGCCUGAGAGGGUGACCGGCCACACUGGGACUGAGAUACGGCCCAGACUCCUACGGGAGGCAGCAGUGGGGAAUAUUGCACAAUGGGCGCAAGCCUGAUGCAGCGACGCCGCGUGAGGGAUGACGGCCUUCGGGUUGUAAACCUCUUUCAAUAGGGACGAAGCGCAAGUGACGGUACCUAUAGAAGAAGGACCGGCCAACUACGUGCCAGCAGCCGCGGUAAUACGUAGGGUCCGAGCGUUGUCCGGAAUUACUGGGCGUAAAGAGCUCGUAGGUGGUUUGUCGCGUUGUUCGUGAAAACUCACAGCUUAACUGUGGGCGUGCGGGCGAUACGGGCAGACUAGAGUACUGCAGGGGAGACUGGAAUUCCUGGUGUAGCGGUGGAAUGCGCAGAUAUCAGGAGGAACACCGGUGGCGAAGGCGGGUCUCUGGGCAGUAACUGACGCUGAGGAGCGAAAGCGUGGGGAGCGAACAGGAUUAGAUACCCUGGUAGUCCACGCCGUAAACGGUGGGUACUAGGUGUGGGUUUCCUUCCUUGGGAUCCGUGCCGUAGCUAACGCAUUAAGUACCCCGCCUGGGGAGUACGGCCGCAAGGCUAAAACUCAAAGGAAUUGACGGGGGCCCGCACAAGCGGCGGAGCAUGUGGAUUAAUUCGAUGCAACGCGAAGAACCUUACCUGGGUUUGACAUGCACAGGACGCCGGCAGAGAUGUCGGUUCCCUUGUGGCCUGUGUGCAGGUGGUGCAUGGCUGUCGUCAGCUCGUGUCGUGAGAUGUUGGGUUAAGUCCCGCAACGAGCGCAACCCUUGUCUCAUGUUGCCAGCACGUUAUGGUGGGGACUCGUGAGAGACUGCCGGGGUCAACUCGGAGGAAGGUGGGGAUGACGUCAAGUCAUCAUGCCCCUUAUGUCCAGGGCUUCACACAUGCUACAAUGGCCGGUACAAAGGGCUGCGAUGCCGUGAGGUGGAGCGAAUCCUUUCAAAGCCGGUCUCAGUUCGGAUCGGGGUCUGCAACUCGACCCCGUGAAGUCGGAGUCGCUAGUAAUCGCAGAUCAGCAACGCUGCGGUGAAUACGUUCCCGGGCCUUGUACACACCGCCCGUCACGUCAUGAAAGUCGGUAACACCCGAAGCCGGUGGCCUAACCCUUGUGGAGGGAGC